CGGGUGAGUAACGCGUGGAUAACCUGCCUCGCACAGGGGAGUAACAGUUAGAAAUGACUGCUAAUACCGCAUAAGCGCACAGUACCGCAUGGUACAGUGUGAAAAACUCCGGUGGUGUGAGAUGGAUCCGCGUCUGAUUAGGUAGUUGGUGGGGUAACGGCCCACCAAGCCGACGAUCAGUAGCCGACCUGAGAGGGUGACCGGCCACAUUGGGACUGAGACACGGCCCAA
rnacentral:rRNA from 1 species